rnacentral:rRNA from 1 species
GAACGGAAAGGCCCAGCUUGCUGGGUACUCGAGUGGCGAACGGGUGAGUAACACGUAAGUAACCUGCCUCUGGCUUUGGGAUAACUGCUGGAAACGGCAGCUAAUACUGGAUAUGACAUGUCAUCGCAUGGUGGUGUGUGGAAAGUUUUUUCGGCUGGAGAGGGGCUUGCGGCCUAUCAGUUUGUUGGUGGGGUGAUGGCCUACCAAGGCGGUGACGGGUAGCCGGCCUGAGAGGGCGGUCGGUCACAUUGGGACUGAGAUACGGCCCAGACUCCUACGGGAGGCAGCAGUGGGGAAUAUUGCACAAUGGGGGGAACCCUGAUGCAGCGACGUCGCGUGGAGGAUGACGGUUUUCGGAUUGUAAACUCCUUUUAUUCAUGGCGAAGGCAGGCUUGUUGUCUGUUGACGGUAGUGUUUGAAUAAGUGCCGGCUAACUACGUGCCAGCAGCCGCGGUAAGACGUAGGGCGCGAGCGUUGUCCGGAUUUAUUGGGCGUAAAGGGCUCGUAGGCGGCUUGUUGCGUCUGUCGUGAAAGGCAGUGACUUAAUCAUUGUUUUGCGGUGGAUACGGGCAGGCUUGAGGCAAGUAGGGGAGAUUGGAAUUCUACGUGUAGCGGUGGAAUGCGCAGAUAUGUGGAGGAACACCGGUGGCGAAGGCGGAUCUCUGGGCUUGUUCUGACGCUGAGGAGCGAAAGCGUGGGGAGCGAACAGGAUUAGAUACCCUGGUAGUCCAUGCUGUAAACGGUGGGCGCUAGGUGUGGGGCUCUUUUGUGGGUUCUGUGCCGUAGCUAACGCAUUAAGCGCCCCGCCUGGGGAGUACGGUCGCAAGGCUAAAACUCAAAGGAAUUGACGGGGGCCCGCACAAGCGGCGGAGCAUGCGGA